GAGUUUGAUCCUGGCUCAGAACGAACGCUGGCGGCGUGCCUAACACAUGCAAGUCGAACGUGAUUGGAAGCUUGCUUCCAUGAAAGUGGCGCACGGGUGAGUAACGCGUAGAUAAUCUACCUGAUGAUCCGGGAUAACACUUCGAAAGGGGUGCUAAUACCUGAUAAGCCCACGGGGUCUUCGGACUCUGCGGGAAAAGGGGGGGACCUUUAUCGGCCUUCCGUCAUCARAUGAGUCUGCGUACCAUUAGCUAGUUGGUAGGGUAAAGGCCUACCAAGGCGACGAUGGUUAGCUGGUCUGAGAGGAUGAUCAGCCACACUGGAACUGARACACGGUCCAGACUCCUACGGGAGGCAGCAGUGGGGAAUUUUGCGCAAUGGGGGAAACCCUGACGCAGCAACGCCGCGUGAGUGAUGAAGGCCCUUGGGUCGUAAAGCUCUGACGGAGGGAGAGAAGUGUAGAGUGGCUAAUAUCCACAUUACUUGACGGUACCCUCAAAGGAAGCACCGGCUAACUCCGUGCCAGCAGCCGCGGUAAUAC
rnacentral:rRNA from 1 species